UCUUCCCCGCGGCUUGUCCUAGGGGCGGUCUCUGUUGCCCUGGGUUACGGGACACGUGUAUCCUAGUCGGCCUGACCCCGGGAGGCGGGCGUGGUACGUUGGGGGUGGUGGCAGCAGCGGCAGGUUUUCCCAUGGAGCCGGUCCAUUUGCUCCCAUUUCCCCCCAUGGUUUGCCCUGAGGGCUGUCUCUGUUGUCCCAAGUUCGCCGGACGUCCAUCUCCAGGUCAGCCUGCUCCCUAGAGGAGGCCACCGUGAGGUCAGGGGGCAAGAGAGGUGGCUGCUUCAGGGAAGCCGGAUGCCCGUCUCCAGGUGACAUUUUAGGUUAUUGGGUCACAGAUUGCUGGCACACUCAUCCCUGUUCUCAAAUAUCUUUUAAACUUGGGUGAAGUGAUAAGUAGGGGAAGAUGAUUUACUGAAAGCAAUGCAGAGUCUCCCGAGAACAGAUUCAGACUGAACAGAUUUGUGUCAGACUUUGGGAGACCGCUGGUGCCCCAGAUGUUCUCUGGCAGGUCAAUGACGAAUCUAGGUCCAUCUUUCACUGCUACGUCAAUGAAGUGGGCCACUUCGACAAGGCCAAAGCUAGUAUCCCCACCAUAGCCCUUGACAGUGAUGUUCGGCUCCAGGAAGCCAUCAGAUGCAGCGGAUGGCCAGAGGAGGAGCCGAACUUGCCCAUGAAAUGUGACAUCCCCAACUUCAUCAACACGGACCAGAACUCUUCCUUUGGGGAAGAUGAUCUGAUUUUCGAACCACCGAAUGUUCUAGAAAAUAAGCCAGUUGCCCAGACCCCACACAAAGACUUGAGUUGAGAAACGUGCUUUGUCAGGUGUCUUUUUGAAGAUAUGAAUUUUGUCUUUGUAUGGCAGGAAGUCCCGUUUCACAAAAUUGUAUGUGUUUUUCUCUGAGAGAGAGAAAUGGAGACAGACAGAAAGACGAAGAAGCAGAAGAGAGCGCCCUCAGAAGAGAGCUAGUUAAGAAUCCUUGAGAGGUCCCUGUCAUCAUUGUCAGUAUCAUCAUCAUCAUCACCAUCAUCAUGGAACUGAUUCCUCUGGGAGAUUCUAGGAAAAUAAAGAGCCGGACGGGGUUAUGUGAAGCAUCCCAGACUGACGAAGACAGUGGAGAAUGCCUCUGAGUUUGGCACUGAUUGCCUGGAGAAUGCUGAAACCCAGGGAAGUGGGCAGCACAGACGUUUACUCAUUUAAUCCUGCCAACACAGUAGGAGAUAGAGUCCACAUAUUCCUCGCUACUUAAAAGAUCCCUGCCUUCUCUCUGUUCCUCCUGUCCAUGUCUCUUCCUCCACUUUUCCCCUUCUCCCGUCCUCCUCCCAUCUUCUCCGUCCCUUGCUUCCCCACCUUCUCUCACAGAACUCGGAGAGGAUCGCUGGCCCUCCUGCGCAUGCGCAGUCUUUGCCAGCUGGAAUGAGGGUUGGAAGCUCCAGCUCCGAGCCGGGGAUCGGCCCCAAAGGCUGCUCAGCUCUUUCGCCCGGUAGGACAUUUGCUCCUGCCCCGGCGCCCCGUCCACAGCUGUCCAGGGUCAGGUGUGCACCUGCCGCCUCUCGCCCCAGCCGGGCUCCCCUGUGUCCGUGGCUGGCGUCCCUUUCCCUUCUCCCACCCGCGAGUCCUCUCCUCCCGGGCUGC